rnacentral:rRNA from 1 species
UACGUAGGGGGCGAGCGUUGUCCGGAAUCAUUGGGCGUAAAGCGCGUGUAGGCGGUCCGGUAAGUCCGCUGUGAAAGUCGGGGGCUCAACCCUCGGAUGCCGGUGGAUACUGUCGGGCUAGAGUCCGGAAGAGGCGAGUGGAAUUCCUGGUGUAGCGGUGAAAUGCGCAGAUAUCAGGAGGAACACCAAUGGCGAAGGCAGCUCGCUGGGACGGUACUGACGCUGAGGCGCGAAAGCCAGGGGAGCAAACGGG